ACUAUAGAUUUAAAUUUAUAGUCAAAAAUAACUUUUGGGUAGACUUCUACAAUUUCCUUUCAUAAACCCAACUUCCAUUUUUAUUCGAAAAAUGUAUUUCAUGUUCGCAAAGAAUGUUCACCUUUACAACAAUAAUCUUAGAAGAGUUGUCAUAACAUUAUGAGAUGUCAUAGUCUAAGAUCCCGCUGCAGAAUUAGUGCGCUCAUCGAGUAUAUGUUAAAAACUACAUUCUUACACAUAUUUAUGCUUAGAAGAAUAUAUAUCUACUAGGUUGCCUAUUAACCCUUAACUGCUCGCAUGGGGUCAACGCACUUUCGCGUAUCGAAAAAAUGCACUUGCAACAGUUGGAACCUCCCCGCGCGCCUGCUAGCCUCUUAAUAUGCGCUAAAGGACAUACUUUAGUACCAUUUAGGCCGCUGCAGGUGAAGGCCACGCCGCUGCUCUCUUAAGCCGUGACCCCGUGCGAGUACUUACGUAACUUUUUUGAGAAAGUUAUCAAACAUGGAUGCAAGAGACGAACAUAUUGCACAUUGGCUACUGAAUGUACCUGAUGAAGAACAGGAUGUUGGGGAUUCGGAUUCAGAGUCGGAAGCAGAGGAAGUCCUUCAUAGUGAACACGACACAACUAGUGAAAUUGAGGAAAUUUCAAACGAAUCGCCGGACUACGACGAAAAUGACUCUACAAAUCAAGAUGCCAAUUUUUAUUUUUCAAGACAUAAAGGCAGAAAUGGCAUUUAUUUAUUGUUUAUUGUUUACUGCCAAAACUGCAAUAACGAUGAUUGCCAUAGUUCCUAAAUAUUCAUGAAAUUUUAAUGCAUGAUCUCAUGUUGUGCCAAAAAUGUUCCUUAUUGUAGAAGUUUAUAUUUUAGUUAUUUUUAUGCCUUAGAAGAUUUUAUUUUAAGUUGUGGUUUUUAUGUCUUAUAGAUUAAAUAAAGUACUUUCAUAAUUACUA